rnacentral:lncRNA from 1 species
CAUCUAGGAUAUCUCUAAGUGAAAGUAAGGAUGCCAUGAGUAUAGUUAAUCUACAACAACAAGAACAUAAUAUAAGCGGACUACUCAUGAUGACAUGCACAACUAGACUAGAAUUUUUAUCUAAUUAUAUCUCCCACUAUUUUAUCGAACUUCAUACCCCUCAAAUAUGAAAAUCGAGAAAUAUACUAAUAUCUUUUAGUGGGGUUGAGAUCCCUAUUCCUCAUAAACACCUUGUGGAUAGCACAAUAAGCAUUCAUGAGUUCAAGAGUAGGUAACUCUUUACCAAUUAUACCUCUACAAUUCUCAAUAUCUUUCUUUCUGACCUCUAGAUCACAUAUAGUCUUGUAGAUAGCACAACAAACUAUAGUGUUCUAGUUAAAUUGGCCCUUCAAUCUAUAUAGUCAUACUUAAACAAUGCUGCUCUUGUGGAUAGCAUAACAAAGUAACACUAUUCAAAUAUACCAUAAGCAUCAAUAUGCACUUGAUCAACAUCAUGUCAAUUUUUAUAGUAAGCUUUGUGGAUAGCACAACAAGCUCACUAAGAUCUUGACAUACUCUAUCGAUCAAGUUUAAAGGAAGGCCCU